CACUCCUGCGGGAGGCAGCAGUGGGGAAUUUUGGACAAUGGGCGAAAGCCUGAUCCAGCCAUGCCGCGUGCAGGAUGAAGGCCUUCGGGUUGUAAACUGCUUUUGUACGGAACGAAACGGCCUUUUCUAAUAAAGAGGGCUAAUGACGGUACCGUAAGAAUAAGCACCGGCUAACUACGUGCCAGCAGCCGCGGUAAUACGUAGGGUGCAAGCGUUAAUCGGAAUUACUGGGCGUAAAGCGUGCGCAGGCGGUUAUGUAAGACAGUUGUGAAAUCCCCGGGCUCAACCUGGGAACUGCAUCUGUGACUGCAUAGCUAGAGGACGGUAGAGGGGGAUGGAAUUCCGCGUGUAGCAGUGAAAUGCGUAGAUAUGCGGAGGAACACCGAUGGCGAAGGCAAUCCCCUGGACCUGUACUGACGCUCAUGCACGAAAGCGUGGGGAGCAAACAGGAUUAGAUACCCCAGUAGUCCCAUGA
rnacentral:rRNA from 1 species